GUCUACGCGUGACGUCACCGACGGGCGCGGACGAGAAGAGGCCCUGGGGUGGCACGUGUGUCUGGCGGCGCGGCGGGCGGGUACAUGGCGGGCUCUGUGGGACUGGCGUUGUGCGGGCAGACGCUGGUGGUGCGGGGCGGCAGCCGAUUCCUGGCCACCUCCACUGCAAGCAGUGAUGAUGACAGCCUCUUCAUCUAUGACUGCAGUGCUGCAGAAAAGAAGGCACAAGAAAAUAAAGGGGAGGAUGCGCCCUUGGUCCAGGGGAGCAGUGUGAUUCUGGCGUCCACCUUCUCCAAGUCUGGCAGCUAUUUUGCUUUAACUGAUGACAGUAAGCGUCUGAUUCUUUUCCGUACAAAACCAUGGCAGUGUCUGAGUGUCAGGACGGUGGCAAGGAGGUGUACGGCCCUGACCUUCACGGCCUCCGAGGAGAAGGUCUUGGUGGCCGACAAGUCUGGAGACGUGUACUCCUUUUCCGUGCUGGAGCCUCACGGAUGUGGCCAGCUAGAGCUGGGGCACCUGUCCAUGCUGUUAGAUGUGGCUGUGAGUCCUGAUGACCGCUUCAUCCUCACCGCCGACCGGGAUGAGAAGAUCCGAGUCAGCUGGGCCGCCGCACCCCACAGCAUCGAGUCCUUCUGCUUGGGACACACAGAGUUUGUGAGUCGCAUCUCCGUGGUGCCCACUCAGCCCAGGCUGCUGCUGUCCUCCUCUGGGGACGGCACCCUGAGGCUCUGGGAGUACAGGAGCGGCCGCCAGCUGCACUGCUGUCGCCUGGCCAGUCUGCAGGAGCCGGCGGACCCCCAGGCCCCCCAGAGGCUGGCCGCGUCCAGGAUUGCGUUCUGGUGCCAGGAGAACUGCGUGGCGCUCCUGUGUGACGGCGCUCCUGCGGUCUACAUCUUCCGGCUGGACGCCGGCAGACAGCAGCUGGAGUAUAGGCAGCAGCUGGCAUUCCAGCACCAAGUGUGGGAUGUGGCUUUCGAGGAGACCCAGGGACUGUGGGUGCUUCAGGACUGCCGGGAGGCCCCGCUGGUGCUCUGCAGACCUGUGGGCGGCCAGUGGCAGUCUGUUCUUGAGAGCGCCGUGUUAAAGAAAGUCUCCGGUGUUCUUCAUGGGAACUGGGCCAUGAUGGAAGGCUCUGCCGGCGUGGACGCCAGCUUCAGCAGUCUCUACAAGGCCACCUUCGACAACAUGACCUCCUACCUGAGAAAGAAGGAGGAGAGGCUGCAGCAGCAGCUGGAGAAGAAACGGCACCGGAGUCCCCCGCCUGGGCCCAACGGGCAGGCCAAGAAGAUGAGGCCAGGGGAGACGGCCUGGAGCUGCUGAGCCUCUCACCUCGAGUCACAAAAAGCAUUUUCGCUUGUUCCCCUGCAUCCUGGUGUCUCCCUUCAAGAAGAAAAAGGUGACAUCAGUUGCGAUCAGCUCAGAGGAUGGGACGGUCCCCUGGGCUCCAGAAAGAACGUGCUGUGUCACCAGGCAGAGGCGCUUGCUCCGUGCCUGUGCCCCGUUUCUGGUUGAGGGGAAGCCAGACCCAUGGAGGGGAAGCUCUUGAGGCGCUUUGUUUUCAGGUCGGAGGCAGCGUGCACGCCUGUGGUGGCGGCAGCUGUGCGUGGUUCUGCCGUUCUACCGCCGUUCAUAUCUGGCGCAUCUUCCUCUAGGAACGUCUGCGGGCUGGUGUUUCUGGCACAGUGGACAUUUUCACGCCAUCUCAGCGUCCAGGUGAUGUGCUGCCCCACAGUAGCUGCUCGCCAUGCAGGCUGUUGAAACAGCACGAACGUUCAGCCCGCCCCAGCCCCAGCCAGACCCCCUGUGCUCAGGAGCUGCCUCUGGAGAGUAGCGCUCUCGUGGGAAGUGCAGAAAUGCGUUUUGGAGUUGCAGGGAGCUCUGUCAGGCAGCGCUGGCACAGGUGUUUCAGAUGCCCAGGGUUCUCCCAGCCCUCACAGCGGUCAGCCCUGCUUCACUGGUUUUCCAUGUGAUGUGGCUCAGACGUCAGCAAAGACGCUCGGGUUGGCUUCGGACAUUACGAACAAAGGAAGCUGUGGGAGGCCGUCAAAGUCUGAGAUGUCGCAGGUGACACGGGAGGGGGCGGGCGGGGGAUUCGGCUGCAGACACCCCGUCCAGGAUGCCAGCAGCAGGCAUUCCUCCUUCCUGCUUCACUACCCGAAAGGUCAGAGCUGAAAUCACAAGGGUCUGCAUUGCCUUUUGCUGGGAGGGCCAGGGGCCGCACUCCCAAGACAGCACGUAGCAGCUCCCGAUUGUCAGUGACUCUGAUGAGGGAGAUUUGUUGGAUUUCUCAGAUCCAGUCUGACACGUGCGGCGUUCCUCGAAUUGCUAAUCAACAGGCUUGGGGAGGAAAAAUGGCAUCUUCCUGUGCCCCCGGAGCAGCACAGGUGGUGACAGCGUCUCAGAACGGUGCUAGGCUGUGCAGGCCGGCCCUCCCUUUGCCAACUUUCUGUUCUUCUUGGCGAGAUGCUUGCUGUGUGCUGGGAACUCACCAUGGAAAGCCCCGGGCAUUGCUGCUGCUGUCUCUUGACGCCAUCCAGCUGUAAACAUCUUACCCUUCGUGCUGACUUCAUGCUGACUGUCGGGCAGACAGUGCACUUGGAAACAUGCCGUCCUCGGUGGAGAUGGUGCUGCCCACCCCAGGGGGGCGUCUUGUUCAGUGGAUUGUGCUUGUCGGGGGGUGGGCCCCUCUGUCUGCACACUCACUCCCUAUGCUGGGCCUGUCCCCAGGCCUGGGUGCUGCGUUCCCCACACCUGCCUCUGCUGUGGGACCCAGAGCUCUCAGGGCCAUGGGCACAUCUGUCUUGCGCUGAGCCUCCACUGCCACAUGCAGCCUGUGAAUCAGUCCACAUGUGUGGCCGCCUCCCAGUACGGGCAGGCUCUGGGUGUGCUGGCUGACCAGGGUGGACACGGCCUCCAACUGUAGGGAUUUGGGGGCGACUGCAACAGGAUGGGGGUUGGUGGGCUUUCUAGGGGGCCCCAUGCAUGGAGACCAGGCUGGCUGCUGCGAACCAGGACUCACCGUAGACGCCUCCCCUAACGGACCUCAGUCAUUUGUUGAUUUAACUGUUCCAGGACGCAGUAUGGUUAGAACCAGAGGCAGUGUGCUGGAGUGACAGUGUGUACGUGUCCACGUGUCUGUGCGUGUGGCUGCAUGUUUGUUCAUGAUAGUAAAAUUCAAGGAAGCGUCGUAUGGAGUUUGAUGAGGGAGCAGAAUUUGGUGAGGUGGGCAUUCCAAGUAAUGUAGCGGGUGAAGGUGCUGUUCAAAGAGCCUUGUUACGGAUGAGGACAGCAGGUAAUAGUCCCUUCAGAGGCUGGCAUGGAGGUGGAGGGCGUCAGAUCUGAUGCCUACGUUUUGCUUCAGUUUUUGCCAAUGCUGCCAUAUCUACUAGCUUUAGGAUUCAAAUGAAAAAAGCAGAAGCCAAAAGGGGUAUAGAAAUCAAGAUCCCUAUCUGCAUUGAGCUGUAUUCAAGAUGAGAUGGAUUUCCUUUUUUGGA